CGGGAAUUUCUUUGUCGGUUUCUUCAUGUGCUUCUUCUUGGUGGGCUCAAGUGCUGGUGGGUCUGCCAGACCAUGUCUGUGCUGGAUUUUUUUAUCUAUUUUGGGCCAGCCCAAUAUAUAAUUUCUGAAAUUCCUAAUAAAUCUUAGAGGCUCACGCAGCUCAUUUGUGCAAGGCAAGAGGUGGAAAUGUUUAGUCCCACAAUGCUAGUUUAGUGGGAGUUGGACCUCCUUAUAAGGGAGGAUGUUUCCACACAUGUAUGAGCUUGAGAACAAGAGAGACA
rnacentral:lncRNA from 1 species